rnacentral:rRNA from 1 species
UACGGGAGGCAGCAGUGGGGAAUAUUGCACAAUGGGCGAAAGCCUGAUGCAGCUAUGCCGCGUGUAUGAAGAAGGCCUUAGGGUUGUAAAGUACUUUCAUCGGGGAGGAAAAACAAAACUAAUAAUUUUAUUUCUUGACGUUACCCGAAAAAGAAGCACCGGCUAACUCCGUGCCAGCAGCCGCGGUAAUACGGAGGGUGCUAGCGUUAAUCAGAAUUACUGGGCGUAAAGAAGCACGUAGGUGGUUUUUUAAGUCAGAUGUGAAAUCCCUGGGCUUAACCUAGGAACUGCAUUUUGAAACUGAAAUACUAGAGUAUCGUAGAGGGAGGUAGAAUUCUAGGUGUAGCGGUGAAAUGCGUAGAUAUCUGGAGGAAUACCUGUGGCGAAAGCGGCCUCCUAAACGAAUACUGACACUGAGGGUGCGAAAGCGUGGGGAGCAAAACAGGGAUUAGGAUACC